rnacentral:tRNA from 1 species
GCCCGCGUGGCGGAACUGGUAGACGCGCUACGUUCAGGGCGUAGUUCUCUUAAACGGGAGUGUUGGUUCGAAUCCAAUCGCGGGCA